CGCGUCUCUCUCCCUCUUCUCUGCAACUCCGGCCACCUCUUGAUUCCGGCCACCUGGGAACGAACAAGUGCCACUGCUGGACUCCUCUACUCCUACCCAACCUCCCCACGGCGAUAACUCACGGCGGUUUGGACGGAAAACGAAGAAUCAAGCCCGGAAACUUUACUGUAGCAGUUUGAGUCAACGCCGAUUUCUCUCGAUUCCGGCCAUCUCCGGCCACCAAACCGGCGUCGAAGGUUCGG
rnacentral:lncRNA from 1 species